AGGACUUGGAAGAGCAGCUGAACGGAAUGGACAGUGUCUUGAAAGGAGGAUAUAAGAUGAACAUCAACAAAAGCAAAAUGAGGAUAAUGAAAUGUAGUCGAAUUAAGUCGGGUGAUGCUCAAGCAAUUAGAUUGGGGAAUGAGACAGGUAAAGUAAUAAAGGAGUUCUGCUAUUUGGGGAGCAAAAUAACUGUUGAUGGUAGACACUUCGUCCAGUGUUGCUGUAGCUUUUGAUAUUGUACAAACUGGCAAAGGUUCAGAUUCAUCGUUGUCUUUACUUUCUUCACUUAUCGAUAUCGUCAAUUGAAGACCUCCUACGAUUCCAAUUUUUCUCGAAGUAAGUCCGUGCUCUGUUUACAUUGAAAAAAAUACUCAGCUGAAUAACUUUUGAUCUUUAACCUCCAGAAUUUUUCAGAUGGAACCAAGGGUAGAUAGUGGCCUCCGAGCUGUUUCUUUACUUACAUCUGUACCUUUGUUGAAUUACAUUAUCAUAGUGCAAGUUGGUCAUACAAUUUUGAUGCAAAAGUGAACCUGAAAACAUGAUAAAAUGUGGACGUCUCUGGAGAAAGCUCAGUGUGUGGGGCCUGGUAGAUACAGACGAUACCUGAUACCCAAAUGCAACAAACCUUUCAGACUUGGAAUACAUCAUUUAUGGAAACAGGUAGUGUUCUCCAUAAAAAAAACAGGGCUGGUCACCACGAGUUUCAGAUGCCAUUGUGGACAGGGUACGGCAGGCGUUUGCAAGGAGUUCUAUAAAUUCUGUAUGUACUGCAGCCAGGGAGUUGGAAAUGAGAAGAUCGACAUGGCACAAUCUCUUGCAUAUGAGGAGUUCCUGUUACAUAUACAGCACUUGACACUGCUUGUGAGAAAACAUUAUUAAUCAGCAUUGAUGGUGAACUUGGUCCCUAGCACCCACUAGUGGGCGUCUCCACUUCCAUAGCAGGCAGUAGACAGUUGGACCCUAAAAUAUUUAUAUUAGGGUUUCACAAAACUUUGAAAAAAAUAUUUGGUCAUACAAUUUUGAUGCGAAAUGGAACCUGAAAACCUGCUAAAAUGUGGAUACCAGUGGAUAAAGCUCAAUGUGUGUGGCCUGGUAUAUACAGAUGAUAUCAGAUACCGAAGUGCAAUGAUCCUUUCGGACUUGGAAUACAUCAUUUAUGGAAACAGUGCUCACAAGACAUUUACAGUGGGGUGUGCAGUUGAGAACAGUUCUCCAUCUACCCCUCAGUGCUCACCAGAAUUAUCCAAAGUGGAGCACUGUGCCAAUUCCAAGAAGCAGGCCAAAGAUGUCCUGGUAAGCAGCACAUUUUCAAUGCUGCGAGACAAACAAACAGCAAUGAAUGGGAGCAAUGAGGAUGACAAGUUGGGUGAACAUGUUGCAGCUGAGCUGAUAACAACUAAAAAUAGAAAAUUAAAUGCAGAGGCAAAGUGAAUGUUAUCAUGAAUGCCAUCAUGGGUGCAAUU